CCUACGGGUGGCAGCAGUGAGGAAUAUUGGUCAAUGGACGAGAGUCUGAACCAGCCAAGUAGCGUGAAGGAUGACUGCCCUAUGGGUUGUAAACUUCUUUUAUAUGGGAAUAAAAUGUUCCACGUGUGGGAUUUUGUAUGUACCAUAUGAAUAAGGAUCGGCUAACUCCGUGCCAGCAGCCGCGGUAAUACGGAGGAUCCGAGCGUUAUCAGGAUUUAUUGGGUUUAAAGGGAGCGUAGGUGGAUUGUUAAGUCAGUUGUGAAAGUUUGCGGCUCAACCGUAAAAUUGCAGUUGAAACUGGCAGUCUUGAGUACAGUAGAGGUGGGCGGAAUUCGUGGUGUAGCGGUGAAAUGCUUAGAUAUCACGAAGAACUCCGAUUGCGAAGGCAGUUCACUGGACUGCAACUGACACUGAGGCUCGAAAGUGUGGGUAUCAAACAGGAUUAGAUACCCGAGUAGUC
rnacentral:rRNA from 1 species